AUGUACUUGCCUACUACAUAGYRUUAAUGCACUAAAUUCCAUUAGAACUCUGUAUUUAAGYGCRCUCAGGCUUGAGUAGUACUGGGAUGGGUGAUUGCCUGGGAAGUCCUAGUGUUUUACAUG
rfam:Picea glauca, whole genome shotgun sequence.